GCGGCAGCGUCAGAUGUGUAUAAGAGACAGGUGAAUCAUCGAAUCUUUGAACGCACAUUGCACUCCUCGGUAUUCCGGGGAGUAUGCCUGUUCGAGCGUCAUUUCACCUCUCAAGCAUCAGCUUGGUUUUGGAUCUCAUCCGAGAGGAUGUUUCCGAAAAACAGUGGCAGUCUGGGAACAUUCAAGCGCAGUGAAAAAUAUCGCUCUGAAUUACUCCGGCUCGCCAACAACACUAUCAACAUCUUGACCUCGGAUCAGGUAGGGAUACCCGCUGAACUUAAGCAUAUCAAUAAGCGGAGG
rnacentral:misc_RNA from 1 species